GACGAACGCUGGCGGCGUGCUUAACACAUGCAAGUCGAACGGAAAGGCCCUGCUUUUGUGGGGUGCUCGAGUGGCGCACGGGUGAGUAACACGGGAGUAACCUGCCCUUGACUUUGGGAUAACUUCAGGAAACUGGGGCUAAUACCGGCGAGGAGCUCCUGCAGCAUGGUGGGGGUUGGAAAGUUUCGGCGGUGGGGGAUGGACGCGCGGCUUAUCAGCUUGUUGGGUGGGUAGUGGCUUACCAAGGCUUUGACGGGUAGCCGGCCUGAGAGGGUGACCGGCGACAUUGGGACUGAGAUACGGCCCAGACUCCUACGGGAGGCAGCAGUGGGGAAUAUUGCACAAUGGGCGGAAGCCUGAUGCAGCAACGCCGCGAGCGGGAUGACGGCCUUCGUGUUGUAAACCGCUUUCGCCUGUGACGAAGCGGGAUUGACGGUAAUGGGUAAAGAAGCACCGGCUAACUACGUG
rnacentral:rRNA from 1 species